UCUUUCAUCUUCCAUUCUAAAUAAUGCCAACCCUUUCAAUAGCAGAGCCGCCGUACAAUUUUGUUCCCAGAACGACAACCGUUCCUCCUCCUCUCCGUCUCCGUGAUGGGGAGGAGGAGCCGCCACCCAUCCGUUGCCCCCAAUCCUUGAUCUUUGUCACUACCCUACGGAAACCCUCAAUCAUUUUGAUCAUCAAAGUUACAAAGGAGGAGAAAGGCUAUUUUGUUCUUUGUUGUUGUCAAUAGAACAUCCCUGCUACUACUACACCUUCUCGCUAGCGUUUGUUGUGCGAAUCCAAUUGAUAAUUUCAAUCCUCAAGGGUGGAGCCUAGAUCAGGGAAAUUUCCACAACCUUUCAAACCGGGAUUGAGAGAACCCAGAAAACCCACACACCUUAAAGUUUUCGGUGCCACCCCUCUAGAUGGGUGCUAUGGCUCUAAAAGUUGCAUCUCCAUACCGAUCUGAAUGGAUCAUCCUCAUCAAUCUUAAUCACUAUGAACAGGUUUCCAAGACCUCCGGUGAGGACAACUAUCUCUUUUGUGCAUGACGGUGCUGUGACCUCUUGGACUAUAUAAACCAUGUAUCCCUUGCUGUAAUAAUCAAUGAGAAUUUGCUUCUGUCAUUUUUCUUCUUUCACAAUUCUUCUACAUUUUUACUCUUUAAAACCCAGGGACUCCUAUUAAGUGGUAUCAGAGCCCUUUUAUGGGGCCGAAGAAGGGUGGUCCACCGCCACCACCACCACCUUCACCUCCACCACCGCCUUCCAGUAGCUCAGAGUUUCCUCCAAUGCUGUCACAUCCUCGUUCUUCUUCCUCUUCGCGCCAUCCAGAUCCUAACCCACUAGAGUUGGAUCUUCAGCUACAUCGCGAUCAAACGUCAGCAAAUUUUCAUGACAUCAGGGAGUCCUUGGAGUAUAUGCGCUCUCAGAAUUCUGCUUUACGCUCGGAAUUGCUCGAAGAAAUUUGAUAGGAGCAUUUUAAUGCGACGUUUUAAUUGUUAUUUCCUCAUAUUUACUCAGUUAUUUCCUUAAAUGAAUCCUUCUUGUUUAGGAAAGUUACUAUUAUUAGGAAGUUUCUAUUUUUAGUAAUAGUUUCUAUUUUCAGGUCCUAUGGAGCAAACAAGCUGAAAUGAGCUCAAAAAGAGAAAGAAAAGCUAGAGGGCGUUGGGAGAAGAGUCCUGGAGGCACUAGGAGACCACAUGACUUGAAGAUGACACAUGGAGGCCCAAGAAUCUUAUGGAUUAAUUUGGAUUUUCGGCAAAUGGAGGAAGCCAUUUGGAUUUAGGGUUUUGCAUGUGGACGUCAAAGAGGGAUUUUUGGAGAAUAAAUCCUUAAUUGCCGUGAAUUAUCAAGAGAAGAUCACAAAGACAACGUGAAAAUCAAAGGAAGAUAAAAAAGAUUACGUUAGAGAAUGUCAAGGGAGAAUUUCAAGGAAGGGUGAAGUGUGUGCAACAAGAUAAGGCUCAAAACAAGUCCAGAUUAGUUCCUCAAUUUCCUCAAGAUGUGUUGGCCGAAAUUAAGGAAUUAAAAUCUGCAGUAUUAACGUGAAAAUCAAGAGAAAAUCAAGGGGAGGACAUUAAGGAUAAAGCCAUGGAGAGAUUUAAGGGAGAAAAUGGUCCAAAAUGUGUCCGGAUACAUUGUCUAGGUUCAUGCCUAGAUAUUUGGCCGAAAUUUAUGAAUAAAAUCAGAAAUAAUCCUUGAAAAUUCGGCAACAAUAUAUUAGGGACUUAUUCUGGAGGCUUGUGAUUGGAAAUCAUGCAUAUGAUUGUGGUUUUGAUCUUUGUUUCUUG